GUGCUCGCUUCGGCAGCACAUAUACUAAAAUUGGAACAAUACAGAGAAGAUUAGGAUGGUUCCUGCGCAAGAAAAAAACAAAACAAAACAAAAAACAGCCAGUGCUG
rnacentral:snRNA from 1 species